rnacentral:rRNA from 1 species
GAUGAACGCUGGCGGCGUGCCUAAUACAUGCCAGUCGAGCGAACAGACGAGGAGCUUGCUCCUCUGACGUUAGCGGCGGACGGGUGAGUAACACGUGGAUAACCUACCUAUAAGACUGGGAUAACUUCGGGAAACCGGAGCUAAUACCGGAUAAUAUAUUGAACCGCAUGGUUCAAUAGUGAAAGACGGUUUUGCUGUCACUUAUAGAUGGAUCCGCGCCGCAUUAGCUAGUUGGUAAGGUAACGGCUUACCAAGGCAACGAUGCGUAGCCGACCCGAGAGGGUGAUCGGCCACACUGGAACUGAGACACGGUCCAGACUCCUACGGGAGGCAGCAGUAGGGAAUCUUCCGCAAUGGGCGAAAGCUUGACGGAGCAACGCCGCGUGAGUGAUGAAGGUCUUCGGAUCGUAAAACUCUGUUAUUAGGGAAGAACAAAUGUGUAAGUAACUAUGCACGUCUUGACGGUACCUAAUCAGAAAGCCACGGCUAACUACGU